rnacentral:rRNA from 1 species
AUUGAACGCUGGCGGCAUGCCUUACACAUGCAAGUCGAACGGCAGCACGGGGCAACCUGGUGGCGAGUGGCGAACGGGUGAGUAAUGCAUCGGAACGUGCCAUUGAGUGGGGGAUAACGUAGCGAAAGUUGCGCUAAUACCGCAUAUUCUGUGAGCAGGAAAGCAGGGGACCGCAAGGCCUUGCGCUCUUUGAGCGGCCGAUGCCAGAUUAGCUAGUUGGUGAGGUAACGGCUUACCAAGGCGACGAUCUGUAGCGGGUCUGAGAGGAUGAUCCGCCACACUGGAACUGAGACACGGUCCAGACUCCUACGGGAGGCAGCAGUGGGGAAUUUUGGACAAUGGGCGCAAGCCUGAUCCAGCCAUGCCGCGUGAGUGAAGAAGGCCUCGGUUGUAAG